GUCACUCAGUCGUGUCCGACUCUUCGGGACCCCAUGGACUGCAGCCUACCAGGCUUCUCCAUCCCUGGGAUUUUCCAGGCAAGAGUACUGGAGUGGGGUGCCAUUGCCUUCUCAGAAUCCAUAAAUAAGUGCAAAUGAGUAGAAGUUAAAGCUGAUGGGGUUGUUGUGAAGAAAGACAUUUUUAGAUGAGAAGACUGAAGCAUAAAGAGAUUGAAUAACUUGUUGAAGGUCAAGCAACUAAUUUGACUUAAAGUCAAAUUCAGGCAGUUUGGUCCCAGAGCCUGUGCUGUUAACCUCUUAUGUUGUAUUGCCUCUCCACGGUAUGCAGUCUGCUCAUGUAUAAGAGACAUGCCAUUCAAUUUGCCUGCACCACUUCCUCAUGUUCCAGUCUUUAUCUUUUGUUAGUGAGCAGGUACCCACUUAACCCUCUUCCUUCCCCUACCAUAGCUGAUUGGACCAGGAGUAGGAUUCAAACUGGCCCAAUCAGAUUCUCUCUUGAGAAAUUUGCAAUUAGUCUUACCUGGUCUCAACCUAGAAAGUGAUGACACUAGCACGUAAGGGAGGGAGAGAUGUCUGACCCACAUGCAAGUGUAUAGACCAAAUAGGCCUGCAGAGAGCGACAGAUAGCGAGCAGAAGAGCUACAAAGCCCUGGGUUCCCAGAAGUGAGUGGUAGAGAAGUUAGUUGCCUGGGGUUUUGGAACUUUCCGGGUCCUGGUUUGCCCUACUAAACCUAUCUACACAAGGUACUACUCUGCAAAUAAACUUCUCUUUCAAUUUAAA